GACGAACGCUGGCGGCGUGCUUAACACAUGCAAGUCGAACGGAAAGGCCCUGCUUUUGUGGGGUGCUCGAGUGGCGAACGGGUGAGUAACACGUGAGUAACCUGCCCUUGACUUUGGGAUAACUUCAGGAAACUGGGGCUAAUACCGGAUAGGAGCUCCUGCUGCAUGGUGGGGGUUGGAAAGUUUCGGCGGUUGGGGAUGGACUCGCGGCUUAUCAGCUUGUUGGUGGGGUAGUGGCUUACCAAGGCUUUGACGGGUAGCCGGCCUGAGAGGGUGACCGGCCACAUUGGAACUGAGAUACGGCCCAGACUCCUACGGGAGGCAGCAGUGGGGAAUAUUGCACAAUGGGCGGAAGCCUGAUGCAGCAACGCAGCGUGCGGGAUGACGGCCUUCGGGUUGUAAACCGCUUUCGCCUGUGACGAAGCGUGAGUGACGGUAAUGGGUAAAGAAGCACCGGCUAACUACGUG
rnacentral:rRNA from 1 species